rnacentral:miRNA from 1 species
GGCCAGGCCCAUCAGGGCUUGUGGAAUGGGAAGAAGGGAUCCUUCUGCAGGCCUGCUGGGUGCGGCU